AUUGAACGCUGGCGGCAGGCCUAACACAUGCAAGUCGAACGGUAGCACAGAGAGCUUGCUCUCGGGUGACGAGUGGCGGACGGGUGAGUAAUGUCUGGGAAACUGCCCGAUGGAGGGGGAUAACUACUGGAAACGGUAGCUAAUACCGCAUAACGUCGCAAGACCAAAGUGGGGGACCUUCGGGCCUCACACCACCGGAUGUGCCCAGAUGGGAUUAGCUAGUAGGUGGGGUAAUGGCUCACCUAGGCGACGAUCCCUAGCUGGUCUGAGAGGAUGACCAGCCACACUGGAACUGAGACACGGUCCAGACUCCUACGGGGGGCAGCAGUGGGGAAUAUUGCACAAUGGGCGCAAGCCUGAUGCAGCCAUGCCGCGUGUAUGAAGAAGGCCUUCGGGUUGUAAAGUACUUUCAGCGGGGAGGAAGGCGGUGGAGUUAAUAACUUCACCGAUUGACGUUACCCGCAGAAGAAGCACCGGCUAACUCCGUGCCAGCCGCCGCCGUAA
rnacentral:rRNA from 1 species